AUGGAGCGUGUCUCGCCGUGGCUGCUGGUGGUGGUGCUUCUGGUGGCCGCCGCGUCCGGGCGGAGCGCGCGCGGCGAUCCGCAGGUGCCGUGCUACUUCGUGUUCGGGGACUCGCUGGUGGACAACGGGAACAACAACGACAUCGCGUCGCUGGCGCGGGCCAACUACCCGCCCUACGGCAUCGACUUCCCGGGCGGAGCCACCGGGCGCUUCAGCAACGGCCUCACCACCGUCGACGCCAUCUCUCGGCUUCUGGGCUUCGACGACUACAUCCCAGCGUACGCGGGAGCAAACAAUGAUCAACUCCUCUCCGGCGUCAACUUUGCCUCCGCCGCCGCCGGAAUCAGGGACGAGACCGGCCAGCAACUGGGACAGCGCAUAAGCUUCGGCGGGCAGCUCCAGAACUACCAGGCGGCGGUGCAGCAGCUGGUGAGCAUCCUGGGGGACGAGGACUCCGCGGCGAACCACCUGAGCCAGUGCAUCUUCACGGUGGGCAUGGGCAGCAACGACUACCUCAACAACUACUUCAUGCCCGCCGUCUACGCCACCAGCCGGCAGUACACUCCGGAGCAGUACGCCGACGUGCUCGCCAGCCAGUACACGCAGCAGCUCAGGAUCCUGUACAACAACGGGGCGAGGAAGGUGGCGCUGAUGGGGGUGGGGCAGGUGGGGUGCAGCCCGAACGAGCUGGCGCAGCAGAGCUCCGACGGGGUCACCUGCGUGGCGCGGAUCAACGGCGCCAUCGAGAUCUUCAACCGGAAGCUGGUGGAGCUGGUGGACCAGUUCAACACGCUGCCGGGGGCGCACUUCACCUACAUCAACGCCUACGGGAUCUUCCAGGACAUCAUCAGGUCGCCGGGGGCCAACGGCCUGACGGAGCUGACCAAGGGGUGCUGCGGGGUGGGGAGGAACAACGGGCAGGUGACGUGCCUGCCCUUCCAGACGCCGUGCGCCAACCGGAACGAGUACCUCUUCUGGGACGCCUUCCACCCCACAGAGGCCGCCAACAUCCUCGUCGGGAGGCGGGCCUACAGCGCCGCCCAGCCCUCCGACGUCCACCCCGUCGACCUGCAGACGCUCGCGCGGCUCUAG
rnacentral:rRNA from 1 species